rnacentral:lncRNA from 1 species
UACUUGUCAGGUUUAUUUUGGUUUACAUUAUAUGCACUAUUUUUCCCCUAAGACCUUAAAAACAACCUUAUUUGAGAAAUGUGAAUUAUGUGAUUAGAAUGCCCAGUUUUACUGAACCCAGCAGAGUUCUAGUUACUGAAGAUACACCAAUGGCCUGCACCACUUAGAGCAACGACCAAGUAGUGGUCCCCUCUUAACUCUUUUACUGUCUGUGAGGUAUGACCUUCUUUACACCCCCACAUGCCUCUAGUAUGCAUUGAAGUCCAGCCUGCCCAGAGCUGUUAAGCAGCUAUAACUAAUAAUUUCCAUUCGACUAUCUCAUCCCUCUUCUCUUCUACUCUCUUGUCAGCUGAGUGUUCUAUCCCCUAGAACAGGGGUCCCCAGCCCCUGGUCUGUGGCCUGUUGGGAACCAGGCCACACAGCAGGAGGAUAGACCCAGUCUCCAUGAAGUCUUGAAGACUAAGUCCUAAUCUACAGCCCCUGGAUGUCCUGUUGGUUUUGAACCAGCACAGUUCUGUACUAGGGAAUGAUUGUAACAGCUGUAGAGCAAGUAUUGUUCCCAACUUGUCAGGACCCAUGGAGGAUCGGUCAAAGGAGGGGGAAAGCUGUGACACGUCGCUUCCAUACACCAAAAUGGCUCACAUGAAGCAGAGAUGAUGAUCAUUUCCUUGAUAUUGAGUUGAUAAAGGUUUAUCAGCCAUGAUACACUCUGAAACAUGCAAGGAAUUUGCAAGAGCUCACUGGGAAACGAGCCAGUUCUCCUAUUUUGUCUUUCAUCAUUUUGCUGGAGACGCAAAAGUGUGCACACAGGUCAUUCGUAUAAUGAGCAGUGCUGCGGUAGUAAGACCAGCCCCGUAAUGAACAGGAUUGCCCCAGCCCGUGAUGCUGAUGCAAGUGAGAUAGGAGACAGGAGGCUAAUGUGUGCUUGGUCGGCAGCUCACCUGCCGAGGAGGAAUGAAGAAUCACAGGAGAGUUACCUAGAUAGUUAGGGGAAAACAGAAACCCUCUCUGUUUUUUCACUGUCACUAAUUGUGCCAGUUAUCUGUGUCGCUUUGAAUGUAAGCAGCUCGCCUAUUCAAACACAGCAGGCCAUCCUAUUGCUGGAAGAGUUAAGGAAGGAGAAGGCCAGAUGACUCCCCAGAUUAGAUGUAAUGCCACCUGUCAUGUUUUUAUUAUGAUUUUCAAAAGCAUAAACUUUUAGCCUGUCCUUUCGGUAGUUAUUAUGAAUGUUUUGCCUUAUCUCGUUUUUUCUAUUAUAAAACAAAAAGAUAGGGAUUUUUUUAGAAUCACAAAAAAAUUUAUUUGAAUACUUAGGUAGGGUCUAAGGGCUCAGAACCUUGUUUUUCUAAAUAAGCAUAUUCAUAUGCACAUAGAAGAAAUAGCAUUAAAAGCUUAAGAGUGUGAUGGUCAGGGUUCACGUCACAGCUUCAUCAACUACUAGCUGUAUCACUCUGAGCGAGUCAGUUAACAUCUCUGUGCCUCAAUUUUUUCAUCUCUAAAAUGGGCUAAUGAUAGUACCAGUAUUAUAGAGAUAUUAUAAGGAUUAAAUAGGUUAAGAUACCUAAAGAAUUGGGAAUAAUGCCUAGCCCACAGUACCUACUUGGUAAAUGUUAGCUAAUUUAUGGUUUAUACAUCCAUACAUAUCUAUGUGUUUAUACAGUAGGAUAGUUAAUUGAAACAGUUAUUUAAAGCAUAUUUAUCUCAAUUAUGUAAGUGGAAAGUAAAUUUUUACAAAUAAGAGAGUUCAUCAGGUGUCAUUCUUGAAGACUGCAAAAUGACAAUUUGGUAUGGUUACAUAAGAACUAAUCUUCUCCUUUCCUAAAGUUCAUUCUGUAUUCAUUUAUUGUAAUAUGUUAAAAGACUAUGUGCCCUUUGUAAAGUAGUUUUUUUCCAUGCUGGAUUAAAUAACUUCUUUGUACAUCAUUUUCACAUUUGGAUGUGGCCAUUUCUAUUAUACUCAGGGUAGCCAGAAAUCUGCCAGUUUUCUGGAAC